rnacentral:rRNA from 1 species
AGGAUUAACACUGGCGGCGUGCCUGACACAUGCAAGUCGAACGAGGCCGCAAGGCCGAGUGGCGGACGGGUGAGUAACACGUGACCAACCAACCUCGAAGUUGGGAAUAGCUCUGCGAAAGUAGGGGUAAUACCGAAUGUGGCCCAGGGCGGGCAUCCGCCUUGGUCUAAAGAUUCAUCGCUUCGAGACGGGGUCGCGGCCUAUUAGCUUGUUGGUGAGGUAACGGCUCACCAAGGCGAUGAUGGGUAGCUGGUCUGAGAGGACGACCAGCCACACUGGGACUGAGACACGGCCCAGACUCCUACGGGAGGCAGCAGUGAGGAAUCUUCCGCAAUGGGCGAAAGCCUGACGGAGCAACGCCGCGUGUGGGAUGAAGACUCUAGGGUUGUAAACCACUGUCGGAGGGGACGAUCGUGACGGUACCCUCCAAGAAAGCCCCGGCUAACUACGUGCCAGCAGCCGC